rnacentral:rRNA from 1 species
CACCGCCCGUCACAUCACGAAAGUGAGCUCGUACUAGAAGUCGCGCAGCCAACCGUAAGGGGCACGCGCCAAGGUAUGGACCCAUGAUUGGGGUG